rnacentral:rRNA from 1 species
GAAUUGAUCUGGUUCAGGAUGAACGCUGGCGGCGUGCCUAACACAUGCAAGUCGAAGGAAACCAAGCGCUUCGGAGACUUCGGUCAAUGUUGCUGGUUUAGUGGCGGACGGGUGAGUAACGCGUGGAUAACCUGCCUCAUACAGGGGGAUAACAGUUAGAAAUGACUGCUAAUACCGCAUAAGCGCACGGGAUCGCAUGUUCCUGUGUGAAAAACUCCGGUGGUAUGAGAUGGAUCCGCGUCUGAUUAGCCAGUUGGCGGGGUAACGGCCCACCAAAGCGACGAUCAGUAGCCGGCCUGAGAGGGUGAACGGCCACAUUGGGACUGAGACACGGCCCAAACUCCUACGGGAGGCAGCAGGUGGGGGAUAUUGCACAAUGGGGGAAACCCUGAUGCAGCCGACGCCGCGUGAGUGAAGAAGUAUUUCGGUAUGUAAAGCUCUAUCAGCAGGGAAGAUAAUGACGGUACCUGACUAAGAAGCACCGGCUAAAUACGUGCCAGCAGCGGC